UACGAAGGGGGCUAGCGUUGCUCGGAAUCACUGGGCGUAAAGCGCACGUAGGCGGGUAUAUGACAGGGGUGAAAUCCUGGAGCUCAACUCCAGAACUGCCUUUGAUACUGAAGAUCUUGAGUUCGGGAGAGGUGAGUGGAACUGCGAGUGUAGAGGUGAAAUUCGUAGAUAUUCGCAAGAACACCAGUGGCGAAGGCGGCUCACUGGCCCGAUACUGACGCUGAGGCACGAAAGCGUGGGGAGCAACAGG
rnacentral:rRNA from 1 species